AGACACCCUUAUGGGGCAAGGCUUGCUUCAGUGGGGCUUUGGUGCUCACUGAAUCUGCCCCCUGAGUGUGUCCCU
rnacentral:pre_miRNA from 1 species